CGGAUUGAUGUAAUAGUAACAUAAGUGACUCAUGACCACAAUAUAAAGGUGCAAAUCCUUUGUCCGUA
rnacentral:tRNA from 1 species